rnacentral:rRNA from 1 species
GACAGAGGCCUCAAGCGUUUAGGCGGAAUCACUGGGCUUAAAGCGUGUGUAGGCGGAUCGUUAAGUGUCUUGUGAAAUCCCACGGCUCACCCGUGGAACUGCUGGGCAUACGUGGCGAUCUUGGGCCAACUAGGGGCUACCGGAACAAAUGGUGGAGCGGUGAAAUGCGUAGAUAUCAAUUUGGAACGCCAAUGGUGAAAACAGGUAGCUGGGGCUGUGCUGACACUGAGACACGAAAGCCAGGGGAGCGAACGGG